UAAAACCAGCUCUUCGAAUGGUGGGCAUGUUUAUUGGGCCUAAAGCAUCCGUAGGCGGGCUCGUAAGUCUCCAGUCAAAUCUCACGUCUUAAGCGUGAACUCGCUGGAGGUACUGCAAGCCUUGGGACCGGGAGAGGCAGAGGGUACCAAUCCGGUAGGGGUGAAAUCCAAUAAUCGGAUUGGGACCACCGGUGGCGAAGGCGCUCUGCUAGAACGGAUCCGACGCUGAGGGAUGAAAGCCAGGGUAGCGAGCCGGAUUAGAUAGAAGAAGUCCCGAGGGACUGAUUCCGAAGACCCGGGUAGUCCUGGCCGUAAACGAUGCGGGCUAAGUGUUAGGCUACAUACGAAGUAGCCUAGUGCCGAAGGGAAGCCGCUAAGCCCGCCGCCUGGGGAGUACGAUCGCAAGAUUG
rnacentral:rRNA from 1 species